rnacentral:rRNA from 1 species
AUAGGUUAAGCCAUGCAUGUGGAAGCGAAGCCUUUUAUGGUGGAGCGGCAUACGGCUCAGUAACGGGCGAUCGAUUUGAUCUGCCUAUACGGACAUCCUCUGUAAACGGAGGGUAAAACGUAAGGGGGGCUUCCUUACGGAAGUUCGCCAAACCUGUAAAGGUGAGGCAGAGUAAGAAGCCAUCCCAUCAGUUAUUAAGUAGGGUAAGGGCCUACUUAGACGAAGACGGGUACGGGGAAUUAUCGUUUGAUUCCGGAGAGGGAGCCUGAGAGACGGCUACCGGGUCCAAGGACAACAGCAGGCGCGAAAAUUACCGCAGCCUGCGAUCAGGGCGGUAGUAAGGAGACGUGAUGACGAAGUGCUGAUAAAAGCUGCACUAGUGACAGGAGGAAAAGACUGGUGCCAGCACCCGCGGUAAUACCAGCUCCUGGAGUGUCUAUGAUGAUUGCUGCAGUUAAAGAGUUCGUAGCCGAGGCAUUAUUUAACUGCGUUAAAGGGGAUAUCUCAAUUAUCCCUGUGCGCAGUGAUUUURCAGAAUAAGGAGUGCUUAGGGGCCAGAGUAUCAUACGGCGACUGGUGAAAUGGGAUGACCCGUGUGGGAGUAACAGAGGCGAAAGCGCUGGUCAGGGGCGAGUCCGAUGGUAAAGGACGUAGGCUAGAGGAUCGAA